CGCCCUCCCUCCCUCCCGCUUCCCCCCACCCCACCCCACCCCCGGUCGCGCCCCCCUUUUCUCCGUCUUCGUCGCUCUGUGUGUGUGUUAGAGAGAGAGAGCGCGCUCAAGCCCUCUGACGUCACGCUCAGGGGCAGACCGGAGGCUGGCGCCAAGUCAAGCCAAACACGCGCGCAGAAGGCAAACAGGCAAGCAAGCAGCGCAGAAGGCAGAGCAGGGCGCGCGCUGAAGAGGAGGAGGCGGCGGCGGCGGCGGCACGCGGGCUCUCGCUCUCUCGCGCACACAGGGUCGCUCGCCUCAACCGCCGGGGCUCGCGCCACACCUCUCCGCACGGUCGGCCGGGCCAUUUACAUGUACACACCAUCUCCACAACAAUAACAACAACAAGCAAUAUCUCAAUAACGCCCUGUUUCGGACAUUAGGACUUGACAGCAAAGCUCCACGAAUUCUCUCUUUGCCGAAGUGUUUCCUCAGAAGUGUUUUAAGACACCCCCCCCCCCCCCAAAAAAAAGUAUCCCCCAUGUAGUCUGAAAUCCCAAGUGGUCUACAUGAAUGGCUGAGAAUUAGGCAGCUGCGGUGGCGCAAUGGGUUAAAACUCUCGUGCCGGCUGGACUGCUGGCCUGAAUGAAGAGGUGGUGUUGCUGACCUGAAGGUUACCGGGUUCGAAACCGCUAGACUGCCUGAGCUCCCGUGUAGCUUAUGGGGACAUGAAAAAAGCCUCCCAGCACGAUGAUAUACGUUAUGAAGAAAUUCAACUGAUGAAACUAAUCAACUGUGGAAAAAGUGCAUUUUUUACUUUAUUUCUGCCACACAGUUUGAUAAAAAGUGGAUAGAAGAACAGAUGACAUUGCUACCAAUGGUACAUUCUUUUCUUCUUCCAUUGCUUCUUGCUAUGGCUUCCAGUUCCAGGCUGUAGCACACAGCAAUUUGGGGUUUGCUUUGGAUCGUCGGGGCUUAUAAGAUAAUUAUUUGUGGUUUGGAUCCAAAGGGCUACAAAGGACACACCAAUCUGAGUGUGUUCUUCCAGUGCAAUUUUAUUUAGGUCUACAUAGGACUGCAGUCUAAAUAACCCUUAAUUUCAUGUUUUAAUUCUACUAAUUAUUUGUUUUAAUAAACAAAAUUAAAACAUGUAUUUGCAUCCAGAAAUGUUACACAGCUACCUAUUAAUACUUUGCUCUCCAUGUUUUGCCAGCAUAUUUCACUGCUUUUACAUUCCCUAUUAAUAGCAGAGAAAUCCAAACCUUCA